rnacentral:rRNA from 1 species
AUUGAACGCUGGCGGCAGGCCUAACACAUGCAAGUCGAACGAGUGGCGGACGGGUGAGUAAUGUCUGGGAAACUGCCUGAUGGAGGGGGAUAACUACUGGAAACGGUAGCUAAUACCGCAUAACUUCAGCUGUGCCCAGAUGGGAUUAGCUAGUUGGGGGGGGAACGGCUAACAAAGGAGACGAUCCCUAGCUGGUCUGAGAGGCUGACCAGCCACACUGGAACUGAGACACGGUCCAGACUCCUACGGGAGGCAUCAGUGGUGAAUAUUGCACAAUGGGCGCAAGCCUGAUGCAGCCAGGCCGCGUGUAUGAAGAAGGCCUUCGGGUUGGAAAGUACUUUCAGCGGGGAGGCGUUACCCGCAGAAGAAGCACCGGCUAACUCCGUGCCAGCAGCCGCGGUAAUAC